rnacentral:sRNA from 1 species
GGUGCAAGAUGACGGAGCCGGGCGCCUCUCCCGAGGACCCUUGGGUGGAGUAUGCCUACAGCGACAACAGCCUGGACCCCGGGCUUUUUGUAGAAAGCACCCGCAAGGGGAGUGUAGUGUCCAGAGCUAAUAGCAUCGGUUCCACCAGUGCCUCUUCUGUCCCCAACACAGGUAGGCGGUAACAUCCCCCCUACCUUGGGGGGCUCAGAUAUGUCAUAAUUGUAGUACCUUUCCUAGACAGGGAAGCCCCAGCCAUCCACACAGGGGUGCUGGAGCCAAAGUAUCAGACACAGGGUCUCACCAUCUUUCACCUCAUCUGGAACAUUAGGUUCUUCUGUCCAUCUGCCUUCUCUGGACACCAGCUUCUUCCCAGCUGGGGAAAGGUGGGCUAGCUGGACCCCACUGGGCCCCAAGAUGACCUCUCCCUGCCCCCAUCUCUGAGCGUAGAUGACGAGGACAGUGAUUACCACCAGGAGGCCUACAAGGAGUCUUACAAAGACCGGCGGCGGCGCGCACACACUCAGGCUGAGCAGAAGAGGAGGGACGCCAUCAAGAGAGGCUAUGAUGACCUUCAGACCAUCGUCCCCACUUGCCAGCAGCAGGACUUCUCCAUUGGCUCCCAAAAGCUCAGCAAAGCCAUCGUUCUACAAAAGAGUAUGGCUAAGGAAAGCACUGGAGGGGCUGGAGCCAAGAGGGGCUGUGAAGAGGCCAGCGCCUCCUACCCACCCAUGGCUCGGCCUUGGUGUGGUGAUUGCCAUGGGAUAGUUGGGGUCUGGGGGAAGGGGAACAAAGUCAACCUUAUCUUCUGGGUUGAGAAUACUUCUGUACCUGUCCUUUUUUCUUGCCCCC